rnacentral:rRNA from 1 species
AGAGUUUGAUCAUGGCUCAGGACGAACGCUGGCGGCGCGCUUAAUACAUGCAAGUCGAGCGAGAACCAGGGCUUCGGCUCUGGGGACAGCGGCGAACGGGUGAGUAACACGUGGGUAAUCAACCCCCGACACCGGGAUAGCCCAGGGAAACUUGGAUUAAUACCGGAUACCCCAUCUGGCUUUCGAGCCGGCUGGAAAAGGGUAGCUUCGGCCUCUGGUCGGGGACGAGCCCGCGGCGGAUUAGCUUGUUGGUGAGGUAACGGCUCACCAAGGCGACGAUCCGUAGCUGGUCUGAGAGGACGAUCAGCCACACUGGGACUGAGACACGGCCCAGACUCCUACGGGAGGCAGCAGUAGGGAAUCUCGCGCAAUGGGCGAAAGCCUGACGCAGCGACGCCGCGUGAGGGAAGAAGGCCUUCGGGUUGUAAACCUCUUUCAGGAGGGACGAAGCCACUCGGGUUAAUAGCCUAGAGGGUGACGGUACCUCCAGAAGAAGCCCCGGCUAACUACGUGCCAGCAGCCGCGGUAAUACGUAGGGGGCAAGCGUUGUCCGGAUUUAUUGGGCGUAAAGAGCGUGUAGGCGGCCAUACAGGUCAGCUGUGAAAACUCGAGGCUCAACCUCGAGACGUCGGUUGAAACCGUAUGGCUAGAGUCCGGAAGAGGAGAGUGGAAUUCCCGGUGUAGCGGUGAAAUGCGCAGAUAUCGGGAAGAACACCCGUGGCGAAGGCGGCUCUCUGGGACGGUACUGACGCUGAGACGCGAAAGCGUGGGGAGCGAACAGGAUUAGAUACCCUAGUAGUCC